AAGUUUUCCAUUAGCUAAAUUCUGAAGGAGGCAAUAAUAUACCACAAGGUGGCCGUUUUCAGCAGCUAAAAGAAGAUCUAACACAUUUGGUCGAGGUUGAUAAUGGUGCUCCACUUUCACACCGACCACUCAGAGGGAAUUACAGGGCUGCAGAGAAGAGAAUGUCUGAGUGCUGUAGUUAAAACCAGGGGUAAAUGCUAUCUCAUGCUUACAUAGUCCUCGAUCCAUGGGUCCUGAGGCUGCCUGAUCGCUUUGCAGCUGGGCCCAUUUACAUUUUCAAUUGACAGAGUCUCUCACAGUAUACAGUAGGGUCUGCUUCACAGGAAUCGAUCGUUUUCUUACAGUCCGCCGCUCUCCAGCACGGGCAUACCUGGAUUGGGCGAUGCGGCGAACAAAAGGAUUGGAGGCAGGAGAAAAAAACACAGAAAAGACACAUAAUACUCAACAGAGGAUCGCCACGGAAGGUCUCCAGGGAAGAGGCGGGCAGCAAAUAAGCAAAACAUGCUUGCCAAGACAAGACUCACAAAAGACACCUUGACCAGUCAGUCUCUCUCGCUCGCUUGACAGCGACUACUUUACACUAAAUGGGAGAGAAAGCGAGGCAGUUGCCCACUGUCAGCACGGCACAGACUCAGCCAGCGCUGUUCAUCACCUCAAAACCAAGGCUAAAUUUGAGCACAAAUAUGAAUAUAUGAAUAGCUGAACAAGUGGAUCUUGUUAUUCACCUGCGUUCACGCUGCCAAGCUUGCAACUUUUGUUUGGAGCCGGUCGUUCUGCUGAGCACGGGCUUUCUGACAGUACAUCUUAAGUGGGGCAGAGGGGAGUGGGCACAGGUGUUACGGAGUGGCUCUUUUACUGAGGGAGAAUGACCUGUGUCUGAAAAUGCCCUCUUUGUCUGUCUUCAGAAGCUCCCGCUAUGCCCCCCGUGCCCUCUAUCCUCAGUGGUUACCAUACUGGCUUAACAAAAAAACAAAAAACAAACUUGCAUUUGCCCAGAUGGCAGACAGCAGGGGCCGCCUAACACUUCCUGUGUCACUGAAGGCUUGCCCCCCUGAGUGUGUCUAAGAUGCAGUUUUGCUCCAUAUGUCCCUAUGAGUGACUGAACUCUCCAGAGAGACAUCUGCACUGCCCAAUACGGUUCAUAAGUACUUUUGCUAUAUAAUUAAAUACGACGACAAUACGGUGAUGCCUUGAGAUACGAGUGAUCCGACAUGCAAGUUUUGUGGGGUGAAUACAAAUUGGAUGUGACAUUUACCAUGUUGACUUGCCUAUUUAUAUUGCAGACAUCGUUUCGAUUUUCUUUUCCGACACAAUGUGUUUUAUGAAAUACGCAAUGAAUUUUAAUUGCCUACUUAUGGCGCCCAUCCGAGGAUUGAUUGCAAAUUCAAAUUUGUAUGUGACAAAUUAAAUGACAUGACAGUUAUUUUAACAGUU